GCCGCGGAGCUUUGAGUUGCUGCCGUAACACGGACCUUAUUUUUGAUGGAUAGUGUGUGUCUCUAAACGGAGGCUGACCUUUGAACUCUAACGGAGGAGGUCAGUGACGGCAUGUCGCCCCCUGCUGGCAUGGAGCGCUGUGAUUGACAGCGAGGACAGAUGCUGUCGUCUAAACAGGGGCCAUCACAAGAACGCUGCAUUACUAUUGGGACGCUCGUAUCAUCAUCAUCAACCUUCAAACAGGAAGUCCACUCACUGUGGAAUCUUUUCCCGGUGGAAGUUCGUGUGGGAGCCGCAACAGAGUUGGGACAAUUAGCGGUCGUUUGUGUGGAAAGCCAUCGCCGCUGUCAAUCAGAUGUUUAUCGGAGGAGGUGAUUUUCGGGAUAAACGUGCAGGACUUUUCUUAACGAGCGGCAGCACAAAGACGACCUGGACGGAUUCUACCCGGCAGCAAGAGACCAGCCGCACAAAGACAAGACACAGGCGCUGCCCACACAGGUGAAGAAGAAUGUACCUGCAAAAUGGCCACCUCGUUACGCAGCUGACUUUCUUGUUUCGUGGGAAAACGAAGUUUGUCAAUGAUCUUGAUGGCCACGUCGCGGCUGGACUUCCUGUGCUUGCCUGUCAACACACACCACGAGCGUCCAUGUUGAAAUGUUUCAGGACAUGAGGUUGGUCAGAUGAUGGUCAGAUGAUGAGAUGUUUGAGGACAUCAGGAGCCCCCAAAACACCAACAUUAGAAGCUUCAUCACCAUGGCGUCACCGGCCGGACUGUCACAUCUUUGCUAGCACGGCCAUGUGACGGCGUUAGCAUCGCACCAGCUGCUUUGUGUCACAUGACGUCUCAGGCACGGGCCUCGCCCGAUGUGAGGUGACAUGUUUGCUUUCCUCGGGCUGAGCUAAGAUGCUAACGUGUUUGUGCUGCACACUUAGUGACAUGUGUGUGUUGUAAGGAAGCAGCACAUGAAAACAACUUACACACACUCGUACUAUGUGUGUGUGUGUGUGUGUGUGUGGACACCUGCUGUGUGUGUGCGUGUUGAGCUGCUCCCCCCGCUGAGUGCGCCGCCAUUAAAAUAGAAAGAAAUACUUGAAGACGCAGCCAGGAAGAAUCUUCAUUAAAAUCCCAACGAGCAAUUCAUUUAAUUUCAUCAGCCAAUAAAUAAGCAACUUGGUCCAAAUAGCAGGCGGGAGACGACUUCAUUCACAAACAGUCAAUCACUGCCUGUCAAAAGAAGUGUGUGUUUGCAUGUGUGUGUGUGUGUGUGUGUGUGUGUGUGUGUGUGUGUGUGUAAACCGCCGCCCCCAUUCUCUCAUAGAUGACAUCUGUGUCAGUCUUUGUCCCACCUUCAUCUCACAGCUGGACUUUUGUCUUCAUCAUCUCUUCUUUCCAUUCUUUUUUCUCCACUUCCUGUGUCACAUGUCAGCCGGGCUCACUGAUUGGCUGCUGAGGAGCUGAAGUGAGAGAAAGACAUGCGGUACAUAAGCGUCCACACACACACACACCCAAUCAUGUUAGUACAGUAAACCUCGGAUAUAUCGGAAAUUCGCUCAUAAUGCACAGAUAAAAAAGAACCGAUUUUUCUGUAAUGCAUUUCCAAUAAAAAUUAAUUUCAUAUAUCGGAUUUUUUAUAACAGAUUUCGCCUAUUUCGGACAAAAUCUCCAGUCCCGUUCCAAUGCAUUUCCAUGAAAUUUCCCUGGCAUAUAUCGGAUAUAUCGCCGCAUCGUGGCGCUCCCGAUUCGCCGAAUGGUGACAGGCCGCUAUACGACGUCAUUUGCAGCGUUUGCAGCGUUGCCUGCGCGUCCAGGUACAUUGGAAACAUAGUCAAGGAAGUGCCUUUUUAUAACGGAUAA